rnacentral:rRNA from 1 species
AAAGUUUCCUUCGGGAGGCGAGUAGAGUGGCGCACGGGUGAGUAACACGUAGGUAAUCUACCUUUGGAUGGGGAAUAACAACCGGAAACGGUUGCUAAUACCGCAUAAUGCAGCGGCACCUAAUGGUGACAGUUGUUAAAGCGGGGGAUCGAAAGACCUCGCGUCUGAAGAGGAGCCUGCGGCGGAUUAGCUAGUUGGUAAGGUAAUGGCUUACCAAGGCGAUGAUCCGUAACCGGCCUGAGAGGGCGGUCGGUCACACUGACACUGACAUACGGGUCAGACUCCUACGGGAGGCAGCAGUCGGGAAUUUUGGGCAAUGGGCGAAAGCCUGACCCAGCAACGCCGCGUGAAGGAUGAAAUCCCUCGGGGUGUAAACUUCGCAAGAACAGGAAGAAUAAGUAAGGGUUAAUAUCUCUUACGAUGACGGUACUGUUUGUAAGCUCCGGCUAACUCCGUGCCAGCAGCCGCGGUAAUACGGGGGGAGCAAGCGUUGUUCGGAUUUACUGGGCGUAAAGGGCGCGUAGGCGGCCACCGCAAGUCGGUUGUGAAAUCUCUGGGCUUAACCCAGAAAGGUCAACCGAUACUGCGGGGCUAGAGUGCAGAAGGGGCAACUGGAAUUCUCGGUGUAGCGGUGAAAUGCGUAGAUAUCGAGAGGAACACCUGCGGCGAAGGCGGGUUGCUGGGCUGACACUGACGCUGAAGCGCGAAAGCUAGGGGAGCGAACGGGAUUAGAUACCCCGGUAGUCCUAGCCUUAAACGAUGAAUGCUUGGUGUCUGGGGUUAUAUAGUCCCCGGGUGCCGUCGCUAACGCUUUAAGCA